UACAGAGGGUGCAAACGUUGUUCGGAAUUACUGGGCGUAAAGGGCGCGUAGGCGGUUUGCUAAGUUGGAUGUGAAAACUCUGGGCUUAACCCAGAGCCUGCAUCCAAAACUGGCAAACUUGAGUACUGGAGGGGAAAGCGGAAUUCCUGGUGUAGCGGUGAAAUGCGUAGAUAUCAGGAGGAACACCGGUGGCGAAGGCGGCUUUCUGGACAGUAACUGACGCUGAGGCGCGAAAGCUAGGGGAGCAAACAGG
rnacentral:rRNA from 1 species